GAGUUUGAUCAUGGCUCAGGAUGAACGCUGGCGGCGUGCCUAAUACAUGCAAGUCGAGCGAACAGAUAAGGAGCUUGCUCCUUUGAAGUUAGCGGCGGACGGGUGAGUAACACGUGGGUAACCUACCUAUAAGACUGGGAUAACUUCGGGAAACCGGAGCUAAUACCGGAUAACAUUUAGAACCGCAUGGUUCUAAAGUGAAAGAUGGUUUUGCUAUCACUUAUAGAUGGACCCGCGCCGUAUUAGCUAGUUGGUAAGGUAACGGCUUACCAAGGCGACGAUACGUAGCCGACCUGAGAGGGUGAUCGGCCACACUGGAACUGGGACACGGUCCAGACUCCUACGGGAGGCAGCAGUGGGAAUCUUCCGCAAUGGGCGAAAGCCUGACGGGAGCAACGCCGCGUGGAGUGAUGAAGGGUUUCGGCUCGUAAAACUCUGUUAUUAGGGAAGAACAAAUGUGUAAGUAACUGUGCACAUCUGACGGUACCUAAUCAGAAAGCCACGGCUAACUACGUGCCAGCCGCCG
rnacentral:rRNA from 1 species